AUCCAGCUGACGAGACCCAAUCAGGACUAAACGUGCGUCCUGGAU
rfam:Schistosoma margrebowiei strain Zambia genome assembly, scaffold: SMRZ_contig0000693